rnacentral:tRNA from 1 species
AGCCCUGUGGUGAAUUACACAUUAGAUUGCAAAUCUAAAGAAGUAGGUAGAACGCCUACCGGGGCUU